CUCCUGGCGAUGAAGAAGCUGAGGGCAGAAGGUUCUAAUGGUGCUCCUGGCGAUGAAGAUGCAAGCGUUGAAGGUGCUGAUGGUGAAUCCCAAAACUGUAAACAAACAAAAAUAUCAAUUCAAUUUUAUAAACAUAUAAAAAGUCUCAAUACAUACCUUAAGAAUGUGACUAAAGUCGCUGGUGUUUUGCAGUCUAAAAGAAGAAAUUACAUUAUAAUUAAAUAAAAUUGUUAAAUACGUAUCCUUACCUUCAAAAUUUCCGCAAAGUGACAUUUCUUCACAGUAUGUAUACUGUCAUGAAAACUCCGAUUUUUCUAACUUGAUGACUAAAAAGUUGUGAAUGUGUUUGUAAAUCGUUUGAAUUUUAAGGGAAAGUGGUGAGCCGUGGCUAGCAGGGAGUAAGUUAGGUAUUUGCAAAUAGUUUUCAAUAUAAACUUAAGCU